GACAGAGGGGGCAAGCGUUGCUCGGAAUCACUGGGCGUAAAGGGCGCGUAGGCGGGAUGACAAGUCGGUCGUGAAAUCCCUGGGCUCAACUCAGGGGGGUCGGCCGAUACUGCCAUUCUUGAGGGAUGCAGAGGAGACUGGAAUUCCCGGUGUAGCGGUGAAAUGUGUAGAGAUCGGGAGGAACACCGGUGGCGAAGGCGGGUCUCUGGGCCGAUACUGACGCUGAGGAGCGAAAGCGUGGGGAGCGAACAGG
rnacentral:rRNA from 1 species